rnacentral:rRNA from 1 species
AGAGUUUGAUCAUGGCUCAGAUUGAACGCUGGCGGCAUGCUUUACACAUGCAAGUCGAACGGUAACGCGGGGGCAACCCUGGCGACGAGUGGCGAACGGGUGAGUAAUACAUCGGAACAUGUCCUGGAGUGGGGGAUAGCUCGGCGAAAGCCGGAUUAAUACCGCAUACGCUCUGAGGAGGAAAGCGGGGGAUCCGUAAGGACCUCGCGCUGCGGGAGUGGCCGAUGUCGGAUUAGCUAGUUGGUGAGGUAAAGGCUCACCAAGGCGACGAUCCGUAGCUGGUCUGAGAGGAUGAUCAGCCACACUGGGACUGAGACACGGCCCAGACUCCUACGGGAGGCAGCAGUGGGGAAUUUUGGACAAUGGGGGCAACCCUGAUCCAGCCAUGCCGCGUGAGUGAAGAAGGCCUUCGGGUUGUAAAGCUCUUUCGGACGGAACGAAAUGGUUAGGGUGAAUAUCCCUGACUGAUGACGGUACUGUAAGAAGAAGCACCGGCUAACUACGUGCCAGCAGCCGCGGUAAUACGUAGGGUGCGAGCGUUAAUCGGAAU